rnacentral:tRNA from 1 species
AAGAUUUGUCGCAGGGGUCAUCCGAAGUCGACCCAGAGGAUGGGCACUGGUCAGGUCGAUCUU